rnacentral:rRNA from 1 species
UACGGGGGGGGCAAGCGUUGUUCGGAAUUACUGGGCGUAAAGGGCUCGUAGGCGGCCAACUAAGUCGGAUGUGAAAUCCCCAGGCUUAACUUGGGAACUGCAUCCGAUACUGGAUGGCUUGAAUCCGGGAGAGGGAUGCGGAAUUCCAGGUGUAGCGGUGAAAUGCGUAGAGAUCGGGAGGAACAUCAGUUGCGAAGGCGGCUCUCUGGACCAGCACUGACACUGAGGCACGAAAGCGUGGGGAGCAAACAGG